CAGAGGGUGCGAGCGUUGUUCGGAAUUACUGGGCGUAAAGCGCGCGCAGGCGGCCUUUUAAGUCUACCCGUGAAAUGCCGGGGCUCAACUCCGUGCACGCCGGGGGAUACUGGGAGGCUGGAGACAGGUAGAGGCAAGCGGAAUUCCGGGUGUAGCGGUGGAAUGCGUAGAUAUCCGGAAGAACACCUGAGGCGAAGGCGGCUUGCUGGGCCUGAUCUGACGCUGAGGCGCGAAAGCGUGGGGAGCAAACAGGAUUAGAUACCCUGGUAGUCCACGCCGUAAACGAUGGGCACUAGACGCGGGUGGGAUCGACCCCUUCCGUGUCGCAGCUAACGCGAUAAGUGCCCCGCCUGGGGAGUACGGCCGCAAGGCUG
rnacentral:rRNA from 1 species